CGACUAAGACGUGUAAUCGCUUCGGAAUGUACCGAAAGGUCCCCGAAGAGGAAAGUCCGGGCUUUACAGGGCAGGAUGCCGGAUAACAUCCGGUGGAGGCGACUCCAAGGACAGUGCAACAGAAAUGUACCGCCGGUUUUACGCCGGUAAGGUUGGAAGGGCAGUGUAAGAGACUACCGCGCCUGCGGUAACGCAGGCGGCACAUGUAAACCCCAUCCAAAGCAAGACCGAAUUGAGGCUAUGCGGCUGCCCGUCGCGCCUCUGGUAGGUCGCGUGAGUCUGACGGCGACGUCUGACCAAGAUAGAUGAUUACACUUUGACAGAACCCGGCUUAUAGUUUUGGUCGUUUA
rnacentral:RNase_P_RNA from 1 species